rnacentral:lncRNA from 1 species
GUUAAGGUUAAUUGUGUAUGUUCUAUAUUAUAUGGUUUUACUUGUUCUAGCCAUUUUAUUCCUAAUAUUAUGUCUGCUUUUUGUAUUUCUCCCUUUACUUAAAAUUCUAUUUUUAUUUUUCUAAUUUCUAUUAUUAUUUCUUUUUCUGCUAUAUUUUUACUAUUUAUUAAACUUCUUGGUAGAUCUGGGCACAUAUCAUUAUCAGUUUUUAUUUCUUCAUUUUUUACUAGAUAUUUUGCUAUAUAAUUUUCUUGUUGUCCUGUAUUUAAGAGUAUUAAAUAUUCUUUUUCAUUUACCUUUCCUGUUAUGUAAUAUUGGUUUAAAUUACUUAUUGAAUUUGUUUCAUAACUUGUUCUUUUUGAUGAGCUUGAUGAUUCUGGUU